CACGUAGGGGCGAGCGUUGUCCGGAAUUACUGGGCGUAAAGGGCGCGCAGGCUGUUAUGCGAGUCUGCUGUGAAAUGUACCGGCUCAACCGGUGCCUUGCGGCGGAUACUGCAUAGCUGGAGUACUGGAGAGGGAAGCGGAAUUCCUAGUGUAGCGGUGAAAUGCGUAGAUAUUAGGAGGAACACCAGUGGCGAAGGCGGCUUUCUGGCCGACAACUGACGCUGAGGCGCGAAAGCGUGGGGAGCAAACAGGAUUAGA
rnacentral:rRNA from 1 species